GCAGAUAGCUCAGUUGGUAGAACACGAGACUCUUAAUCUCAGGGUUGGGGGUUUGAGCCCAACAUUGGGCA